rnacentral:rRNA from 1 species
UAGAGUUUGAUCCUGGCUCAGAUUGAACGCUGGCGGCAGGCCUAACACAUGCAAGUUCGGGCGGUAACACGGGGAGCUUGCUCCCGGGUGACGAGCGGCGGACGGGUGAGUAAUGUCUGGGAAACUGCCUGAUGGAGGGGGAUAACUACUGGAAACGGUAGCUAAUACCGCAUAACGUCGCAAGACCAAAGAGGGGGACCUUCGGGCCUCUUGCCAUCAGAUGUGCCCAGAUGGGAUUAGCUAGUAGGUGGGGUAACGGCUCACCUAGGCGACGAUCCCUAGCUGGUCUGAGAGGAUGACCAGCCACACUGGAACUGAGACACGGUCCAGACUCCUACGGGAGGCAGCAGUGGGGAAUAUUGCACAAUGGGCGCAAGCCUGAUGCAGCCAUGCCGCGUGUAUGAAGAAGGCCUUCGGGUUGUAAAGUACUUUCAGCGGGGAGGAAGGUGUUGUGGUUAAUAACCACAGCAAUUGACGUUACCCGCAGAAGAAGCACCGGCUAACUCCGUGCCAGCAGCCGCGGUAAUACGGAGGGUGCAAGCGUUAAUCGGAAUUACUGGGCGUAAAGCGCACGCAGGCGGUCUGUCAAGUCGGAUGUGAAAUCCCCGGGCUCAACCUGGGAACUGCAUUCGAAACUGGCAGGCUAGAGUCUUGUAGAGGGGGGUAGAAUUCCAGGUGUAGCGGUGAAAUGCGUAGAGAUCUGGAGGAAUACCGGUGGCGAAGGCGGCCCCCUGGACAAAGACUGACGCUCAGGUGCGAAAGCGUGGGGAGCAAACAGGAUUAGAUACCCUGGUAGUCCACGCCGUAAACGAUGUCGACUUGGAGGUUGUGCCCUUGAGGCGUGGCUUCCGGAGCUAACGCGUUAAGUCGACCGCCUGGGGAGUACGGCCGCAAGGUUAAAACUCAAAUGAAUUGACGGGGGCCCGCACAAGCGGUGGAGCAUGUGGUUUAAUUCGAUGCAACGCGAAGAACCUUACCUACUCUUGACAUCCAGAGAACUUUCCAGAGAUGGAUUGGUGCCUUCGGGAACUCUGAGACAGGUGCUGCAUGGCUGUCGUCAGCUCGUGUUGUGAAAUGUUGGGUUAAGUCCCGCAACGAGCGCAACCCUUAUCCUUUGUUGCCAGCGGUCCGGCCGGGAACUCAAAGGAGACUGCCAGUGAUAAACUGGAGGAAGGUGGGGAUGACGUCAAGUCAUCAUGGCCCUUACGAGUAGGGCUACACACGUGCUACAAUGGCGCAUACAAAGAGAAGCGACCUCGCGAGAGCAAGCGGACCUCAUAAAGUGCGUCGUAGUCCGGAUUGGAGUCUGCAACUCGACUCCAUGAAGUCGGAAUCGCUAGUAAUCGUAGAUCAGAAUGCUACGGUGAAUACGUUCCCGGGCCUUGUACACACCGCCCGUCACACCAUGGGAGUGGGUUGCAAAAGAAGUAGGUAGCUUAACCUUCGGGAGGGCGCUUACCACUUUGUGAUUCAUGACUGGGGUGAAGUCGUAACAAGGUA